rnacentral:rRNA from 1 species
GCAAGUCGAGCGAAGCAAUAGGUGCUUUCACUUAUUGACUGAGCGGCGGACGGGUGAGUAACGCGUGGGCAACCUGCCUUACACAGGGGGACAACACCGGGAAACUGGUGCUAAUACCGCAUAAUAUCAAUUAUCGGCAUCGUUGAUUGAUCAAAGGAGUAAUCCGGUGUAAGAUGGGCCCGCGUACGAUUAGCUAGUGGGGGAGGGAAUGGCUCACAAAGGCGACGAGCGUGAGCCGAACUGAGAGGUUGAGC